GCCACCGCGAGGUGGAAUCUGAAGGAAGGUGAAGGCAAAGCGCUGGCUUGACGAACAGAAAUCCCAUAAGAGGCACACAAAGAGGAAGAGAAGGCUAAUAUCUUCAAAAUCCAAAUCUUACCCGGAAUCUCUGUGUGUAGAUGUGGCAGGCAUAAGCGUGAAAGUAGGGCGCA
rfam:Spirochaetes bacterium GWC1_61_12 gwc1_scaffold_180, whole genome shotgun sequence.